rnacentral:rRNA from 1 species
UACGUAGGGACCGAGCGUUGUCCGGAAUCAUUGGGCGUAAAGAGCGUGUAGGCGGCUAUUUAAGUCCUGCGUGAAAUCCUGCGGCUCAACCGCAGACGGUCGUGGGAAACUGGAUGGCUAGAGUGCGGGAGAGGAGAGUGGAAUUCCCGGUGUAGCGGUGAAAUGCGCAGAUAUCAGGAGGAACACCGAUGGCGAAGGCGGCAUCCUGGACCGGUAUUGACGCUGAGGCGCGAAAGCGUGGGGAGCGAUCCGG